ensembl:miRNA gga-mir-6561 gga-mir-6561
UUGUGGCCCUCUGCUGGACUCUUUCCAGGCAGGAGCUCCCUGCCUUUUUUUUGCAUCAGGGAGCCCAGAACUGGAAACAGUAGCCCAGGUGAGGCCUGACCAAUA